rnacentral:rRNA from 1 species
GACGAACGCUGGCGGCGUGCCUAAUACAUGCAAGUAGAACGCUGAAGAGAGGAGCUUGCUCUUCUUGGAUGAGUUGCGAACGGGUGAGUAACGCGUAGGUAACCUGCCUUGUAGCGGGGGAUAACUAUUGGAAACGAUAGCUAAUACCGCAUAACAAUGGAUGACACAUGUCAUUUAUUUGAAAGGGGCAAUUGCUCCACUACAAGAUGGACCUGCGUUGUAUUAGCUAGUAGGUGAGGUAACGGCUCACCUAGGCGACGAUACAUAGCCGACCUGAGAGGGUGAUCGGCCACACUGGGACUGAGACACGGCCCAGACUCCUACGGGAGGCAGCAGUAGGGAAUCUUCGGCAAUGGGGGCAACCCUGACCGAGCAACGCCGCGUGAGUGAAGAAGGUUUUCGGAUCGUAAAGCUCUGUUGUAAGUCAAGAACGAGUGUGAGAGUGGAAAGUUCACACUGUGACGGUAGCUUACCAGAAAGGGACGGCUAACUACGUGCCAGCAGCCGCGGUAAUACGUAGGUCCCGAGCGUUGUCCGGAUUUAUUGGGCGUAAAGCGAGCGCAGGCGGUUUGAUAAGUCUGAAGUUAAGGCUGUGGCUCAACCAUAGUUCGCUUUGGAAACUGUCAAACUUGAGUGCAGAAGGGGAGAGUGGAAUUCCAUGUGUAGCGGUGAAAUGCGUAGAUAUAUGGAGGAGCACCGGUGGCGAAAGCGGCUCUCUGGUCUGUAACUGACGCUGAGGCUCGAAAGCGUGGGGAGCGAACAGGAUUAGAUACCCUGGUAGUCCACGCCGUAAACGAUGAGUGCUAGGUGUUGGAUCCUUUCCGGGAUUCAGUGCCGCAGCUAACGCAUUAAGCACUCCGCCUGGGGAGUACGACCGCAAGGUUGAAACUCAAAGGAAUUGACGGGGGCCCGCACAAGCGGUGGAGCAUGUGGUUUAAUUCGAAGCAACGCGAAGAACCUUACCAGGUCUUGACAUCCCGAUGCUAUUUCUAGAGAUAGAAAGUUACUUCGGUACAUCGGUGACAGGUGGUGCAUGGUUGUCGUCAGCUCGUGUCGUGAGAUGUUGGGUUAAGUCCCGCAACGAGCGCAACCCCUAUUGUUAGUUGCCAUCAUUCAGUUGGGCACUCUAGCGAGACUGCCGGUAAUAAACCGGAGGAAGGUGGGGAUGACGUCAAAUCAUCAUGCCCCUUAUGACCUGGGCUACACACGUGCUACAAUGGUUGGUACAACGAGUUGCGAGUCGGUGACGGCAAGCUAAUCUCUUAAAGCCAAUCUCAGUUCGGAUUGUAGGCUGCAACUCGCCUACAUGAAGUCGGAAUCGCUAGUAAUCGCGGAUCAGCACGCCGCGGUGAAUACGUUCCCGGGCCU